AUAUCUGCUAUAGUUAACACAAGGGAACACCCCUCCAUUUAGCAAAUAAAAUAAAAAUAAAUAAAAAUAAAGUUGACACACAAAAUUAACUUAAAAGAUACUUCUCCAAGUAUUCAUAAUGUUUUAUAAAGCAACCAUGUUCAAAGAGGUGAUAAAAUAAUAGUUAGAUGCAUUUGCUUUUUGCCAGGUUGUGAAGCAGAUGAGCUUUAUAUUUUUGAGGUAGUUGGUUGAACCUGACAGAGACUGUGUCAUUUAAGCUGAGAAUGCAAGCACACAUACAAAUAUCCAUGAGUAUAUCCAGUGGGUAAACAUCCUUAUAACAAACAGAUAAGUAUCGUGGUGAUCAAGCAUUUGUUCAAAAAAACUAUUUACUGUAUAUCAAUAUUAUCUUGACAAAGAAUUUUGAAACACUUUGAAACAUUCAUGUUUAUUUUAUUGGUUCAUUAAUAAUUCAUCUUUGUAUCUUUCUUCAGAUUCAUCUGUUAAAUUAAUAAAUAUAUACUGUAUAUAACUCCUUGCAGCAAAAGUUUCCUCUAAGCAGUGGCAGAGCAAAAACAUGAGAAGCAGCAGAAGGUAUCAUCACACAGAAAGCAGGAAGUUCCAGUGUGUUUGAGUGAAUCUGCAGAGACUCACAGUAACACAGAUCUACAGCUCAGAGCACAGACAACAUUAACACACACCUGAUCUGACAGUCAACAUGGAAAAACACCUGCUUCUGCUUUUAAUUAUGAUUUCAGGUGUGAUGAGUGCAGACCAGAUUGGACCAAAUCAAGAAACUAGUGUCAUAAAAAAGGAAGAUGAGACUGUGACCCUCAGCUGCUCAUAUGAUACAAGCAACAGCUAUGCUUAUCUGUACUGGUACAGACAGUAUCUUAACGAAGAGCUUCGCUAUUUGUUAUUCAAGCCUGCACGAUCAGCUACUACAAGUGGGAGCCCCGAUGAUCCUCGCUUUCAGUCGACUACAUCACACACAUCCACUGAACUCACUAUUACUGGUGUAACUCUGUCAGAUUCAGCUCUCUAUUAUUGUGCUCUAAGAGUUGGAGCCCAGUGAUACAAAGUCUAUGUGAAGCCGUACAAAAACUCAAAUUCAUUUUCCCCUUUGAUGUCAAGCCAUAUCAAA